rnacentral:lncRNA from 1 species
CAGCCCCUCGACACCCGACCGCACAGUGGUCGUGCAGUGGGACCAGGGCACGCGCACCAACUACCGCGCCGGCUACCAGGGCGCGCACGACCUGCUGCUGUACGACAACGCCCAGAUCGGCGUCCGGCACCCCAACAUCAUCUGUGACUGCUGCAAGAAGCACGGGCUGCGGGGGAUGCGCUGGAAGUGCCGUGUGUGCCUGGACUACGACCUCUGCACGCAGUGCUACAUGCACAACAAGCAUGAGCUCGCCCACGCCUUCGACCGCUACGAGACCGCUCACUCGCGCCCGUGAGUCCCGGGCCGCACCGGCUCCUGUGCGGCGGGUACCCAGGCCUUGCCACUGGGGCCUUGGCCUUCGGGGAGGGUGCUGCCUCCUGACCGCUCCCAGGAAGACGGAGCAAGUCUCUCCAGAGCCGUGGCCUUAAGCAGUGGUGCCAUGGGCAGGGCACAGAGGGUGGCCUCUGGGUGGCUCUACAGGCAGCAGUGGCCAUCAGGCAGCCAGCAUCCCCCAGGGCGGCAUGAGACCUCCAGGAGGACAGCCCAUACCCGGAG